rnacentral:rRNA from 1 species
AGUGAACGCUGGCGGUGGGCCUAACACAUGCAAGUCGAACGGCAGCACAGUAAGAGCUUGCUCUUACGGGUGGCGAGUGGCGGACGGGUGAGGAAUACAUCGGAAUCUACUUUUUCGUGGGGGAUAACGUAGGGAAACUUACGCUAAUACCGCAUACGACCUACGGGUGAAAGCAGGGGAUCUUCGGACCUUGCGCGAUUGAAUGAGCCGAUGUCGGAUUAGCUAGUUGGCGGGGUAAAGGCCCACCAAGGCGACGAUCCGUAGCUGGUCUGGGAGGAUGAUCAGCCACACUGGAACUGAGACACGGUCCAGACUCCUACGGGAGGCAGCAGUGGGGAAUAUUGGACAAUGGGCGCAAGCCUGAUCCAGCCAUACCGCGUGGGUGAAGAAGGCCUUCGGGUUGUAAAGCCCUUUUGUUGGGAAAGAAAAGCAGCAGGUUAAUACCCCGCUGUUCUGACGGUACCCAAAGAAUAAGCACCGGCUAACUUCGUG